CUACCAGCUGCCGCCAUGACAAGCAGCAUGUGAAGAUGCUGGCAUCCUGAAGAGGACCCCAGAGGGAGCAGGACAGGCCGGGUCCCUGAGCGUCUCUCACCACUGUGUUUCACUCCCAUCCAAGCCUAUGGGAUGGGCUGACGAGCCUGGCUGCCAACAGGACAAGACAGGAUGGAAGGGGUUAGCAGCAUGUGGGAGGCCCCAGGCUGCUCUGGAGCUCACUCUGAGGUCUUGCACACUAGCAAGCACUCUCCCAACAUGCUCCAUUAACUAGCUUAAUGAGGAACAACUACUGCAUGCGAGCGAGCGGAAGCUGGGCAUCCUGCUGAACUCCUGCUAACUCAGCACUUCAGAGCAACAGGAGCUGAAGUCUGAGGCCAGCGUGGGCUACAAAACCAGCAGGUUUAUGGCCAUACUUCUGAGGAGAGUUGCUAUGCCCAAGUCUCCUGGUGCCAAGAGGAUGUGGAAAGCAGGUCCCUCAGCUGAAAUUAAAGCCUUGCUCUGAACCAUUCCAUGACAGAAACAGGAUCUGAACUUUUAUGGUAAGUGUUCUUUAUCUACUACAUCUUGACUUUUACACAGCUGGGCUUCACUUUUAAAGCACAGUGGGAUAUUUAUUAGAUAAAUGAAACAAACAAAAUACCCAGAAUCAAUGAAAUGGACUGAGAAUGUUCCUGAACUCCAUGCCCCACUAGAGAAAGUGUCAAAUGAAUGAGUAAAAGUAAGGAGGAGGACAAUAUGAAAGGCUCUAUUGAACUCAGAGCUGCAUGAGGUGGGGUCCUUGGACUAGAAGUCCCGAGUUCCCUUCUUCCAUCCACACGCUGAUGAAAUCGCAGACCAGAAGCCCCUAGCAUACUCUUGGGGCAUGCACACUCCAAGUGUGGACUGCAUUCCUCCCUUCAUCCACUCAGCAAAUGGAUGUACUGGGUACCUGGGAAAGCAAUGAGUAAUGCAGACUUGUUCUGCCCUCCAUCUGCUGAGAAGUAGGCUUUAAUCAACCACAGAAGCAUGUCAUAAUGGCCUUGAAAAGGUAGUUGUUAUGAAGACAUGCAGCAGAGGGUCAAAACUAAAUUCUGGAGAUAGAAUCGUGGGCUGUUUUGGAGCUAUCUGAGGGUCAGAAUUGUGGGGUAGAGCUCUUUCUGUACUUGAGCAGCAGCAUCCACUGUGCAUGCAAUGGACAUUAAUUAUGUGGUCUGCACCCUAGUCCAGACUCCCUGACCUGCACUGGUGAUGCAGAAUGAAUAAGACAAGGAAGAGAGGCACUGUGAGAGGGAAAUGAGGAUCAAGCAGGCUGGGACAGGGAAGAGCAGGAGAUGUAAAUAAGAAGGCACUAACAACAACAGUUUUGGGGGAGUCUGCAGGGUAGAUGGGCAGAGGUGUGAGGUACAGAGCAGAGGGUCAAUCAAGUGCUUUUUGUAGGCAUGGUAAGAUUUCCCUCUCAUCACAAGAAAGUGGCACUGAGGGUUUUUAAACAUGGAAGUAACAGAUACUAAUUUGCUGUGGAAUAAUCCUUCUGUACACUGAAAAUAUAUUGUUCUCAUUGUUAAUAAA